rnacentral:rRNA from 1 species
GAUGAACGCUGGCGGCGUGCCUAAUACAUGCAAGUAGAACGCUGAAGGAAGGAGCUUGCUCUUUCCGGAUGAGUUGCAAACGGGUGAGUAACGCGUAGGUAACCUGCCUGGUAGCGGGGGAUAACUAUUGGAAACGAUAGCUAAUACCGCAUAACAGUAGAUGUUGCAUGAUAUCUACUUAAAAGGUGCAAUUGCACCACUACCAGAUGGACCUGCGUUGUAUUAGCUAGUUGGUGAGGUAACGGCUCACCAAGGCGACGAUACAUAGCCGACCUGAGAGGGUGAUCGGCCAUACUGGGACUGAGACACGGCCCAGACUCCUACGGGAGGCAGCAGUAGGGAAUCUUCGGCAAUGGACGGAAGUCUGACCGAGCAACGCCGCGUGAGUGAAGAAGGUUUUCGGAUCGUAAAGCUCUGUUGUAAGAGAAGAACGAGUGUGAGAGUGGAAAGUUCACACUGUGACGGUAUCUUACCAGAAAGGGACGGCUAACUACGUG